rnacentral:rRNA from 1 species
GAUGAACGCUGGCGGCGUGCCUAAUACAUGCAAGUCGAGCGAACAGACGAGGAGCUUGCUCCUCUGACGUUAGCGGCGGACGGGUGAGUAACACGUGGAUAACCUACCUAUAAGACUGGGAUAACUUCGGGAAACCGGAGCUAAUACCGGAUAAUAUAUUGAACCGCAUGGUUCAAUAGUGAAAGACGGUUUUGCUGUCACUUAUAGAUGGAUCCGCGCCGCAUUAGCUAGUUGGUAAGGUAACGGCUUACCAAGGCAACGAUGCGUAGCCGACCUGAGAGGGUGAUCGGCCACACUGGAACUGAGACACGGUCCAGACUCCUAAGGGAGGCAGCAGUAGGGAAUCUUGCGCAAUGGGCGAAAGCCUGACGGAGCAACGCCGCGUGAGUGAUGAAGGUCUUCGGAUCGUAAAACUCUGUUAUUAGGGAAGAACAAAUGUGUAAGUAACUAUGCACGUCUUGACGGUACCUAAUCAGAAAGCCACGGCUAACUACGUG